AGGGAAUGUUUCUUGCAAGCUUUGUGGACACAUAUGUAGUACUAUACCUGCAAUUGUGAGACAUAUGUGCAUUCACAUGCAUGUUUCCCAAGCAGGUUUAAUUGUGCUUUGCUGCUUGCAAUUAGAGUUUUAAAAAGUUUUCAGCUUUUAAAACUCACUGUUAUCGCCACAAAGAGGGGAAAUCUAAGCUCAGAUCUAUGCCAGUGACCUUAUUUGAAUUAACAUGUAAUGUUGAUUUGUGUCAAGUCAGAUGUGAAACUGAAGGACUUUUAUAAGCAUCUUAAAACACACAUUAGAGAGGGGAGGAAUAUUUCUUGUCUGUUUCAGCAAUGUGGCAAAACUUAUUGAUAAAACUUUAUCAAUAUUCUGUGUUCCCAUUUUCAGGAACAUGAAGAUGGACUUGGGUUGAAUGCAGACGUGAGUGUUUCCUUUUCUUUUCACUCUGGUAAUUUAUGCAAGUUGAUGUAUUGAGGUAUUUUUUUGAGGUUUUUCCAUGUAUUGUGUUUUUUCUAAAUGUUUCUGAUCUUCAUCUGAUGUUGAGAAGACACUCAAUCUACCUGGGGUCCUCGUCUGAUUUUGUUCGACAUUGGAGGGCAGGCAAAGGCUGUACGAUGGAUGAUCAUUCUAGAGGGGCGCAUUAUUUGUGAGUGUGUGCAGUCAAACUUUUUGCAAGUAUGUUUGCUGUCUACUACAACUUCAAUCGGCAGUAUCAGGAGGAGGCUUGUUGCACAUUAGAAUUUCUUCAAAGCUUCAUUGGAAUUAAUCCAGAACGAGGCUCCAAGACCGGCAGAGGAAAGGUAGCCUCUAAGAAGACCGGCAAGGUGAUUAAUAAAAAAAUAUUCAACAGUUUAUCCAAGGUUGCCUCUUUACUGAAGAAUCUCAUGGAUUUCGAGUAGGAUUUCAUUUAGGUAAGUAAACUUGCGCAUAUGCACACACACACACGCACAUUUCUAUACCUGUUUUCAGUUUAAAAAAUAAUCAGUCCCUGCAGGAAUUCUGCGAUUGCAGAGUUAAACGCAAAAUCAAAAAGUCUGCAAAAUUUGUGGCAACUUGCAAAAUGUAUGUUCUGCAUAAUUUUUCAGAAGAUGCGCCAUGUGAAAGCGAAAGUGACCAAUUUGUCAGAUAUGGUGACCCAUAUCCGAAAUAUACCUCUGCUUUUAACCCAUCCAUCAAGUUUUAGAGUGAGGCA